AACGAACGUUGGCGGCGUGGAUUAGGCAUGCAAGUCGCGGGAAUCCCAGCAAUGGGGGAACCGGCGUAAGGGGCAGUAAUGCGUGGGUACCUACCCCGGGGUCCGGGAUAGCCGUCCGAGAGGGCGGGUAAUACCGGAUGACCUCGGGAGAGCAAAGCUCCGGCGCCCCGGGAGGGGCCCACGUGAUAUUAGCUAGUUGGUGAGGUGACGGCUCACCAAGGCGGAGAUGUCUAGCGGGUGUGAGAGCACGACCCGCGCCACUCGCACUGAGACACUGGCGAGACACCUACGGGUGGCUGCAGUCGAGGAUCUUCGGCAAUGCGCGCAAGCGCGACCGAGCGACGCCGCGUGGGCGAUGAAGGCCUUCGGGUUGUAAAGCCCUGUCGAGGGGGAGAAAAGCGGGAAACCGUGUGAUCUAUCCCUGGAGGAAGCUCGGGCUAAGUUCGUGCCAGCCGCCGCCGUAAGAC
rnacentral:rRNA from 1 species